UACAGAGGUGGCAAGCGUUGUUCGGAAUUACUGGGCGUAAAGGGCGCGUAGGCGGCCCGUCAAGUCCCGUGUGAAAGCCCCCGGCUCAACCGGGGAACGGCGCGGGAAACUAGCAGGCUUGAGUUCGGGAGAGGGAAGCGGAAUUCCGGGUGUAGCGGUGAAAUGCGCAGAUAUCCGGAGGAACACCGGUGGCGAAGGCGGCUUCCUGGACCGACACUGACGCUGAGGCGCGAAAGCGUGGGGAGCGAUCCGG
rnacentral:rRNA from 1 species